rnacentral:lncRNA from 15 species
CUGAGUUGGUGGCAGCGGUCAGGUACUUUGACCAGAGGCAGGCACAGGCCCAGCAACAGACCCAGGACCAGUCAGAGGAGGUCAGGGACAGACUGGCUUUCUUGGAGCUGCAGGCACAGGUUAGAUGAGUUAGAUAUAUGUUAGUGUAAUUCUAAUCUAUAUUUAUCUUUUCUAUUUCAUAUGUACUUCUGUUUUUAUUUACAAUAAAUUUUAUUUGUUAGAUUUCUGUAGUUCCAUUAAAUAUAUUUUCUUUGGCUUUGUUUGGUACAAGAGAAAAGCAAAGAACUUUUUAAAGUGGGAGGAGUGAAGUGUGUUUAGGGAAAUUACACAACAGGAUCUCAUUUUGUUAAACAAACAGUGGUAUCAUUUGACCUCUGUACUAGCUGAAGUGUUUAACACCUCUGUCUGGAGAGUGAGUGCAGCUGAUAGAUUUGUGCAUACAGAUAUUUAUACUUCACAAGCAUCUUUGACAGAAUGAUACUCACUUCAAACUACUGACACUAGUUUACAGCCUGUACAUUAUUAUUCCCUUUUCUAGUGCAAGACCACCACAGAAUAAAAAAUAAGUGUAUUUAAAUGUAUGGACUCCACUAAAACAAUUAAAACUGAGAUCAAUAUCAAUUGUGUCUGCAUUUCUUUCCUCCCACCAGAUAUUGUUUGAGCGGGUCAUAUUUGACCAAGCGGAGCUGCGGGAAGCCAUACGAAUCAUUGACAAGGAUGUACCGAGAACUAACAGAGACCUGAGCUACUACCAGGGUGAAGGUUUGGGCAAUCUGUUGGUGUUGAGAGAUAUCCUCAUCACUUAUGCUGCUUUUCAUCCAGGUAAACAACAAGGAUAAGCCUCCUCAGGUUCAUUGACACUGACAGCACCAGAGGCUGUGUGGUGUGCCAUAAAAGACACUUACUGUUUGUUUGUGCUCCACUUGUCUUGAUUGUUGAUCCAGAGGUCAGUUAUGCCCAAGGAAUGAAUGACCUGUGCAGCCGCUUCCUGGAGGUCCUUGACUCUGAGGUGGACACUUUCUGGAGUUUCUCCUGCUACAUGGAGAAAUUCUCCAAAGACUUCAGGGCUGAUGGUCUGCACAGGAAAAUAGAGUUGGAAGCAGCCCUGUUGAAGGAACUGGACCCUCAGCUUUAUGCUCAUUUGGUCACAGACAACAUGGAGAGCUUCACCUUCUGCCACAGGUGGCUGCUGCUGGGUUUCCAGAGGGAGUUUGAACACAGUGACGCAUUACGUUUGUUCGAGAUCUUGAGUUGUGAUCACCUGGAGCUUAUCUCUCAACAAGUAGACAGAGCCCGUUAUCAGGAAAGGCUGGCACGAAAAUGCAGCACAGAUGACAGUUCACAGUCAGAGCUGCAGGCCAUCAACACUGACUUCACCUUUGAGCUCUUCAUCUGUGCAGCCAUCCUGUUAGAGAACAGAGAGUCUCUGCUGCGGUGCCGAGAUGAUGUACAACUCAUACAGUUCACAAACAGCCUUCAGGGAACACUGGACCUGAACAGCACACUGAAGAAAGCAGAACGCCAUUUGUACAACUACUGCAAGCGCUGUGCUUGGGACUAUAUGAAUGGGCGGUGCAGAGCACACAAGAGCAAACAAGAAGACUUUCUUUAUCAACUCCGCAGUUUACUUAUUUUAAAGUGA